rnacentral:rRNA from 1 species
GUGGGGAAUAUUGGACAAUGGGCGCAAGCCUGAUCCAGCCAUGCCGCGUGUGUGAAGAAGGCCUUCGGGUUGUAAAGCACUUUUGUCCGGAAAGAAAAGCAUCGGGUUAAUACCCUGGUGUUCUGACGGUACCGGAAGAAUAAGCACCGGCUAACUUCGUGCCAGCAGCCGCGGUAAUACGAAGGGUGCAAGCGUUACUCGGAAUUACUGGGCGUAAAGCGUGCGUAGGUGGUUCGUUAAGUCUGAUGUGAAAGCCCUGGGCUCAACCUGGGAAUUGCAUUGGAUACUGGCGAGCUAGAGUGCGGUAGAGGAUGGCGGAAUUCCCGGUGUAGCAGUGAAAUGCGUAGAGAUCGGGAGGAACAUCUGUGGCGAAGGCGGCCAUCUGGACCAGCACUGACACUGAGGCACGAAAGCGUGGGGAGCAAACAGGAUUAGAAACCCUGGUAGUCC